CCUACUGGAGGCUGCAGUGGGGAAUAUUGGGCAAUGGGCGCAAGCCUGACCCAGCAACGCCGCGUGAAGGAAGACGGCUUUCGGGUUGUAAACUUCUUUUCUCAGGGACGAAGCAAGUGACGGUACCUGAGGAAUAAGCCACGGCGAACUACGGGCCAGCAGCCGCGGUAAUACGUAGGUGGAAAGCGUUAUACGGAUUUACUGGGUGUAAAGGGGGUGUAGGCGGGGACGACAGUCAGAUGUGAAAACCACGGGCGUAACCUGUGGCCUGCAUUUGAAACUGGGUUUCCUGGGUACUGGAGAGACAGACGGGAAUCCUAGUGGAGCGGUGAAAAGCGUAGGUAUU
rnacentral:rRNA from 1 species